GGGGAUGCAUGUUACCGAGGCUGGCGAGGGAGUUUUGCAAACUCCUUGUGGUGAGUUCGAUUCUCACCGUCUCCA
rnacentral:tRNA from 1 species